AUGAGCUUCCUCAGCCUGCAGCAGGCGGCGCCGCCGCGGCGGGCGUCGGCCCGGCGGGCGGCCGCCCCGAUCCGUCAGAAGCUGCUGUUCCUGAGCGGCCACAGCGACUGCGAGGAGGAGGAGGAGGACGAGGAGGAGGAGGGCGGCAGCAGCGGCAACAGCACCGGCGAGGACUCGGCCUUCCAGGAGGCGGACUCGCCGCUCUCGGUGGCUCGCACCCCGGCGCGGGGCGACCCGCCCCUGCUGGAGGAGGAGGAGGAGGAGGAGAUGGAGCCCGCGGCGGCGCCGCUGCCGGACGAGGGAGACUCGUGGGAGGAGGAAGGCUUCGGCUCCUCGCCGGUCAAGUCGCCUGGAGCCUACUUCAUGGCCGGCUCGCCCUCGCCGCCGCCUCCCCACAAGGGCCGGCGCUACGGGGGGCGCUCCCCGCCGCACCUGGCGGCGGGCGGCUACCGGCCGCGGAGCGAGGAGCCCGGCUCGCCGCUGCCCGACUACCCCGGCACCCCGCCCCACAAGACCUUCCGCAAGCUGCGCCUCUUCGACACGCCGCACACCCCCAAGAGUUUGCUCUCUAAAGCACAAGGACUAGGUUCCAGCUCAGCCAAACUUCGAGGGGGCUCUCUAUUUAUGAAUGUUGGGAAGUCGGAGAAGCGAGAUUCUGAUAUCAGACAAACACCUCAUGUGAACAUUAAUCCCUUCACUCCUGAUUCCAUGUUCCUUCACAACUCUGAAGGACAAUGUCGGAGGAGAAAGAGAACACACUGGAAUGACUCGUGCGGAGAAGACAUGGAAGCAAGUGAUGGAGAGCUUGAAGAUGAAACUACCAGACCUGCUAAGAGGAUCACAAUAACGGAAAGUAAUAUGAAGUCACGGUAUGCAACCGAAUUUCAUGAGUUGGAGAAGAUUGGAUCCGGUGAAUUUGGUUCUGUGUUUAAAUGUGUGAAGAGGCUUGAUGGCUGUAUUUAUGCUAUAAAGCGAUCUAAGAAACCCUUAGCUGGCUCAGUGGACGAGCAAAAUGCUUUAAGAGAGGUCUAUGCACAUGCAGUUCUGGGGCAGCAUUCGCAUGUAGUAAGAUACUACUCUGCGUGGGCAGAAGAUGACCAUAUGCUCAUACAGAAUGAAUAUUGCAAUGGUGGCAGUUUAGCAGAUGCCAUAAGUGAAAAUUACAGGAAUAUGCGUUAUUUUACUGAGCCGGAGCUGAAGGACCUACUGCUUCAGGUGGCUCGAGGCUUAAAGUACAUUCAUUCCAUGUCACUGGUGCACAUGGAUAUUAAACCUAGUAACAUCUUCAUAUCCAGGACAUCAGUCCCAAGUACGACUUCAGAAGAAGGAGAUGAUGAUGAGUGGUCAUCUGAUAGAGUCAUAUUUAAAAUAGGUGACCUUGGUCAUGUAACUCGAGUAUCUAGUCCACAAGUGGAAGAAGGGGAUAGCCGUUUUCUUGCAAAUGAAGUCCUACAAGAGAACUACACUCAUUUGCCAAAAGCAGAUAUUUUUGCUCUUGCUCUGACUGUUGUCUGCGCUGCUGGGGCUGAACCGCUUCCAACUAACGGGGACCAAUGGCAUGAAAUUCGACAAGGAAAACUACCGAGAAUACCACAAGUGCUUUCUCAAGAAUUACUAGACCUACUAAAAGUUAUGAUUAAUCCUGAUCCAGAGAAAAGACCUUCAGCUGUGGCACUAGUCAAGCAUUCAGUGCUGCUCUCUGCUGCAAAAAAGAGUGCAGAGCAGCUGAGGAUAGAACUGAAUGCUGAAAAAUUCAAAAACUCACUCUUGCAGAACUUCAGGAACAGUACUUAGACAGCUGGAAAACUGAAACCUGUGGACGAUUUGAAUUGAGACGUGACUGUGAAGAUGGAAUACUAGAUGAAACUGCAAAGAAAGACCUGCUAGGUCUGAGGAACAACUUUCCUGAGUCAGGCCACUGGGGAGAUUGAGAAUCAUGGUCUCGAGAGUGGCUUGUGGGAAGAGCUUGAGAUUUGUAGAGUGUGUGUGUGUUAAUGCUUCCUUUGAAUACUCCUAGCAUCCAGUCAUAUGUGGUUCAAAUGCUUGCUGAAUGAGAAGUGGUGUCUCUAUUUUACUGCCCCUGAAAUAUUUUUUUUUCUUAAAUAAAAAUAAUCUUAAAGUAAUUUUGGUAGCUUAUGAAUUUACUGCAAAAACGCUUGAGCAAAAUUUGUACGUAGGUAUGCAAGCCAUCUUUUCAGGUGGAAGAAGAAACUACUACCCUCUUGCAAAACGUAGGAAGUUGGAUGUCAGUUGGAGAAAUUCUAACAAGCAUGGUGUAACAAGAGGAGCUUCAACACUUUAAGAGCUUUAUCUAUAUUUAAUUUUUAAAAAAUACCAUUGGUGACUGGUAGAUGUUAUUCAAAAUAGCUACAUUUAAUGUUUCACUGUGUUUCCAGUUCCAUUUUCCAAAACAGAUAGCAUAGUACCUUGACUACUUUGAUUCAGGGUAUUUCUCGAAGAACUACAUAGGAACCUAAAAGUAAUUGUAAAACUGGUAUUUUAUAUCCCCGUCUGCUUCUUUGUCUUCUGCCUGAAUCUGAAUUCAGAGCCUGUAAUUCAUCUUUUAAUGAUACAUUACUGGUUAACGCUACCUGUCUAGUCUUGCUUGGACUUCUCACAUCUCAUGCCCAAAGAGUGGGUGGUUUGGUGAACUAAAGCUCUUAGAGAAUUAGUUUCCUGUAAAGAUUGGAUACGUCACACUUAAACAUCUCUUUUUCAAAAACAAUUCUCCUUUGAAUCAUAGAACAGCUUGGGUUGCAAGGGACCUUUAAGAUCAUAGUUACAACCCCUUGUGCUACUUGUUAAAUAUGUGAAGUCAAAUAUGGUAUUCUGAUAUUAGAUAGAAUUCUAUUUAUGCCAUUACCAACCUAUCAUAUUGAAACAAAAUUAGAUUUACUUAGAGAAUAUUUGUCCAGAAAACUUGUGCUAGUCAGGCAUGCUACUAGUCUGUUAAUGCCAAUGGAUGGAAGAAGAGUGUUUUUAAAGAGAAGUUAGCAUCUUUUGCUCCUAGCUGUUCCCUGCAUGAACCUUACCUUCUUUCACUGAACUAAUGGAAAUGUGGAAAACUAAUAUAUCUAGAAAUUGUUGAUGUAAUUUCAUGGGUUUAAGAUCAAACUGACUUUUCUUGUCCUGAAUUCACAGAGGGUAACCUGGCUAGAAUUACUAUGCAGUCAGCUUAGUCUCUCUUUUAAGUUAUUGAUACGUGUAACUUACCUGCUUUUGUUGUUUUUGCAGUUUCUUGGUUUCCUGUAAACUCACUGGUAUUUUCUUCCUUGUAUUUUUUUUUCCUACCUCAGCCCCAAAAGUUCUUGGGUACAAACUGUUGAUUACCACAGACCUAAUAAAGAGUUUUGUUUUGUUUGGGCUGGAUAUCAGGAAGAUAAAGAACCUAAAAAAACUUGACGACUAUUCGGCUUUUAUAUGAAGUCAUAAGCAAAGUUCACCUUCACUUGGAAAUGGAGAUGGGCAUUGCUUGUAUAUUUGAAAACAUGAUUCUAGUUCUACAGAUUGAAUUACUUUGUACUGUAACACCUAAAAAUCUUAUGAACAAAAGUGUACUUAGUUACCCUAUUAUCCUGUUGAACUGGAUAUAUAUAUAUA